CGUAGGGCGCGAGCGUUAAUCGGAAUUACUGGGCGUAAAGCGUGCGCAGGCGGUUUGUUAAGAUAGGCGUGAAAUCCCCGGGCUCAACCUGGGAACUGCGCUUAUGACUGGCAAGCUAGAGUACGGCAGAGGGGGUGGAAUUCCACGUGUAGCAGUGAAAUGCGUAGAGAUGUGGAGGAACACCAAUGGCGAAGGCAGCCCCCUGGGUCGAUACUGACGCUCAUGCACGAAAGCGUGGGUAGCAAACAGGAUUAGAUACCCUGGUAGUCCACGCCCUAAACGAUGUCAACUAGGUGUUGGAUGGGUAAAACCAUUUAGUACCGGAGCUAACGCGUGAAGUUGACCGCCUGGGGAGUACGGCCGCAAGGUUA
rnacentral:rRNA from 1 species